CCCAGACUCCUACGGGAGGCAGCAGUGGGGGAUAUUGCACAAUGGGGGGAACCCUGAUGCAGCGACGCCGCGUGGGUGAAGGAGUGCUUCGGCAUGUAAAGCCCUAUCGGCAGGGAAGAAGCAAGACGGUACCUGACUAAGAAGCCCCGGCUAACUACGUGCCAGCAGCCGCGGUAAUACGUAGGGGGCAAGCGUUAUCCGGAUUUACUGGGUGUAAAGGGAGCGUAGACGGCAUGGCAAGUCAGAUGUGAAAGCCCGGGGCUCAACCCCGGGACUGCAUUUGAAACUGUCAGGCUGGAGUGCAGGAGAGGUAAGUGGAAUUCCUAGUGUAGCGGUGAAAUGCGUAGAUAUUAGGAGGAACACCAGUGGCGAAGGCGGCCUGCUGGACGGUAACUGACGCUGAGGCUCGAAAGCGUGGGGAGCAAACAGGAUUAGAUACCCUAGUA
rnacentral:rRNA from 1 species